GAGUCUUAAUUGGGCGUUAAGUUGCAGGGUAUAGACCCGAAACCCGGUGAUCUAGCCAUGGGCAGGUUGAAGGUUGGGUAACACUAACUGGAGGACCGAACCGACUAAUGUUGAAAAAUUAGCGGAUGACCUGUGGCUGGGGGUGAAAGGCCAAUCAAACCGGGAGAUAGCUGGUUCUCCCCGAAAGCUAUUUAGGUAGCGCCUCGUGAAUUCAUCUCCGGGGGUAGAGCACUGUUUCGGCUAGGGGGCCAUCCCGGCUUACCAACCCGAUGCAAACUGCGAAUACCGGAGAAUGUUAUCACGGGAGACACACGGCGGGUGCUAACGUCCGUCGUGAAGAGGGAAACAACCCAGACCGCCAGCUAAGGUCCCAAAGUCAUGGUUAAGUGGGAAACGAUGUGGGAAGGCCCAGACAGCCAGGAUGUUGGCUUAGAAGCAGCCAUCAUUUAAAGAAAGCGUAAUAGCUCACUGGUCGAGUCGGCCUGCGCGGAAGAUGUAACGGGGCUAAACCAUGCACCGAAGCUGCGGCAGCGACGCUUAUGCGUUGUUGGGUAGGGGAGCGUUCUGUAAGCCUGCGAAGGUGGCCUGUGAGGGUUGCUGGAGGUAUCAGAAGUGCGAAUGCUGACAUAAGUAACGAUAAAGCGGGUGAAAAGCCCGCUCGCCGGAAGACCAAGGGUUCCUGUCCAACGUUAAUCGGGGCAGGGUGAGUCGACCCCUAAGGCGAGGCCGAAAGGCGUAGUCGAUGGGAAACGGGUUAAUAUUCCCGUACUUGGUGUUACUGCGAAGGGGGGACGGAGAAGGCUAUGUUGGCCGGGCGACGGUUGUCCCGGUUUAAGCGUGUAGGUGUGUGUUCCAGGUAAAUCCGGUUCACUUUAACACUGAGGCGUGACGACGAGGCACUACGGUGCUGAAGCAACAAAUGCCCUGCUUCCAGGAAAAGCCUCUAAGCAUCAGGUAACAUCAAAUCGUACCCCAAACCGACACAGGUGGUCAGGUAGAGAAUACCAAGGCGCUUGAGAGAACUCGGGUGAAGGAACUAGGCAAAAUGGUGCCGUAACUUCGGGAGAAGGCACGCUGACAC
rnacentral:rRNA from 1 species